UUCCUUGUCAAGCACACUUUCACUUUGAUAUUCAAAAACCCAACAAAUCCGGCAGUUACACGUUAUAUAUUUUGUACAUUCAUCACUUCCCGCUACUCUUUCUCUCUCUAAAAAAUUCUUACUAUUAAACCCUAGUUCUACUCUAAAACGGUCAGUUACAUUCAAUUUUAUUACUACUCUCUUUCUCUCUCUACAUUUAGUUUAAGGAUAUUCUUUGGCCGCAAGAUCAUGAUUCAAGUUAAGGAGGAAGCUCCGACUCUGGAAUUUGGUGGAUUCACUUCUUGUUCAUCUUUCUCUGAUAGCAGUUAUGAGGCUAGCACUCCGAGAUGCUCCUCCGAGCCUGGUUCCAGUUGCCGAAGGAGCUCAGUUCCGACUAAACGUUCUUCUCAGGCAGGCUGGACAGAAGAAGAGGAUAGUAUGUUGACUGAAGUGGUGAAAAGGUUCAAAGGGAAAAACUGGAAAAGAAUAGCUGAGUGCGUGAAUGGAAGGACCGAUGUGCAGUGCUUGCAUCGCUGGCAGAAGGUUCUGAAUCCUGAGCUUGUAAAGGGUCCUUGGACAAAGGAGGAGGAUGACCAGAUUAUUGAGUUAGUUGGGAAAUAUGGCAGUAAGAAGUGGUCUGUUAUAGCAAAGUCUUUGCCUGGUCGCAUUGGCAAGCAAUGUCGGGAAAGGUGGCACAACCAUCUUGACCCUACAAUAAAAAAAGAAGCCUGGACUGAACAAGAAGAAUUGGUCCUAUGCCACUAUCACCAAAUGUACGGGAACAAGUGGGCUGAAAUAGCCAGGUUUCUGCCCGGAAGGACUGAUAAUGCAAUUAAAAAUCACUGGAAUUCCACAGCGAAGAAAAGAACAAACUUGAAUUUACUAAGUAGGUUGGAUAUCCGAAGUGAGGGAUCUCCGGAUUUCUCAAGUCACAAGAAAAAACUAGAGAUCAAGAAGCUUCCAAUACAGGCUCAUAACGCAGAAACAUUUUUUUUGAGCGAGCAGACUGGAGUAGAUAAUGUUGCUGAUGCUUGCUUAACUGAUCUGAGAAUUGGAUAUGCUUAUUCUCCGCGAAAUAUUUUGGAUAAGGAUACUUCUUUAUUUGGAGCCUGUAAAUCAUCAGAAGACAAUGUGAGGGAUCUCAUAAAGCCACUAGUUGGAAUACAAUUUGGCAAGGCAGAGAUUAUUCCUAUUGGUGAGACAGAUAAUCCAUGCCACUCCAAUUUAAAUCGCUCUAAAAAUUCACAUCCUCUCUUGGCCUCUUCUUUAGAUUUUCCUUUGGAUCCGUCGCACCACACCAGAUGGAGUAGUUCUCAAGUUGAGGCUGUUCCUCCGACUACUUUUGGGAGAAUGUAUGAAUCUCCCAAAAGGUCUAUGCACGCAACUGUUGAUGAUCCUGGCCAUGAUUUUUUGAGUUUGUCAUUGGCUGGCUUCACCGAGGUUCAUUCCCAAAGUAACAAGAAGAAUAAAACAUAUGAUGCACAAUCUUCUUUGCCUCUCAAGCAGCCUGGUUGCUUAUAUUAUGAACCACCAAAAUUAAAGGACUUGUUGAUUCCUAUAACGGAUGAAAACCUUAGUAGUGACAACCUUAUCAGGCAACAAAAUGGCCCUCCAUUUUGCUCUACACCUCCUAGUCUUAAAUUAACAGUCUCUGCUAAUGGUAGCAGUCCAGAAUCUGUGUUAAGGAAUUCCGCAAUGAGCUACACAAAAACUCCUUCAAUCAUAAGAAAGAAGACUUUGAGAUUUCCAGAAGCUUCUGGGCAUUCUAGUUGCACGGGCACCACGACUCCCUCAUAUGUUCUCCGUGGUGCUCCUGACGAGGAAGACACCUCAAACCUGAAGGACAUGAUUUCUGUAUGUAAAACAUCAGUUUCAGGAAAAUCUCUCGGAAGGCGGUUGGAAUAUGCCUUUGAUAUGGAAUGGGAUUCCUCUAGAUGUUGCACACCAGUUCCUGCAGCUCCACCUUGUGGACUUACUCUUGGUGCUAUUGGUGCUAAUACAAUGUUGACACCAUACAAACAGAGAGACAAUUCAUUAUAUGGACCAAAUUGGUUUGGCUGAAAAGACACUUAUUCUGCAAAGAGCAACGUGAUAUGUUCCUGCCUAAAUGUUCAUCUGGAUCAGCUGUAUAGGAUUGGUCUGGAGAAGUUUUUGUUGUAGAUUACAAUCGCGGAGAAUUCUCAAACCAUGUCAAUUUUCGAGGUAACAAAGACCAGUGAAACAAUGACAUGCUGAUACACUGAGAAAGGCCAAGUUGAAGCUGAAGAACUAGUCGGAGAUGGAAGCCGUGAUUUUGAUAUAUUCACAUAAA